UGGCGACCGGCGCACGGGUGAGUAACACGUAUCCAACCUGCCGAUAACGUCGGGGAUAGCCUUUCGAAAGAAAGAUUAAUAUCCGAUAGGAUAUCAAGAUCGCAUGAUCUUGAUAUUAAAGAAUUUCGGUUAUCGAUGGGGAUGCGUUCCAUUAGUUAGUUGGCGGGGUAACGGCCCACCAAGACGACGAUGGAUAGGGGUUCUGAGAGGAAGGUCCCCCACAUUGGAACUGAGACACGGUCCAAACUCCUACGGGAGGCAGCAG
rnacentral:rRNA from 1 species